UAAUACGAAGGGGGCUAGCGUUGCUCGGAAUUACUGGGCGUAAAGGGCGCGUAGGCGGACAGUUUAGUCAGAGGUGAAAGCCCAGGGCUCAACCUUGGAAUUGCCUUUGAUACUGGCUGUCUUGAGUUCGGGAGAGGUGAGUGGAAUGCCGAGUGUAGAGGUGAAAUUCGUAGAUAUUCGGCGGAACACCAGUGGCGAAGGCGACUCACUGGCCCGAUACUGACGCUGAGGCGCGAAAGCGUGGGGAGCAAACAG
rnacentral:rRNA from 1 species